GAAAUGCGAUAAGUAAUGUGAAUUGCAGAAUUCAGUGAAUCAUCGAAUCUUUGAACGCACCUUGCGCUCCUUGGUAUUCCUUGGAGCAUGCCUGUUUGAGUAUCAUGAAAUCUUCAAAGUAAAUCUUUUGUUAACUCAAUUGGUUUCUACUUUGGUAUUGGAGGUCUUUGCAGCUUCACACCUGCUCCUCUUUGUUCAUUAGCUGGAUCUCAGUGUUAUGCUUGGUUCCACUCGGCGUGAUAAGUUAUUUAUCGCUGAGGACACUGUAAAGGGUGGCCAAGGUAAAUGCAGAUGAACCGCUUCUAAUAGUCCAUUGACUUGGACAAUACUUUUAUGAUCUGAUCUCAAAUCAGGUAGGACUACCCGCUGAACUUAAGC
rnacentral:misc_RNA from 1 species